AGCUGUUGAAUCAUACAGGGUGGUACUCAGGGCUGACUCCUGGCUCUGUGCUCAGGUAUCACUUCUGUCAGGACACAUGCAAUUGUCACACUUAGUGGUGUUAGGUCUUAGUCCUCAUUCUAUGCUCAGUAGCACACUUGGUGGGUCUCAGAGAACCAAAUCUGAUGACAUGGAUGGAACCAGUCAAAUUUAUGCAUGGAGAUAAAGAAAUUUUGCCACACUUGGAGACUGCUCCGGGUUUUUGCCUGGCUUAGUCCUCAAGCUUUACUUUGGACUCUGAGUGGUGAAAACAAGGGUUGACUGCAUGCAAGGCAAACACCAUAACCUCAGUAGGAAUUCACUGGUUCAUGACUCAUUUUUUUUGUACUUUGUUUAAUUGAGAUAUUCUGGAACUGAAGUGGUAAUUAUUCCAAUAUGGAGCUAUUGAACUGUGCUUUAGUGUGAACCAAUUUUAACUUUCCUAUUUCUGUCUCAUCUCUUUUUUUGGUAGACUUUUGGGUAGUCUAGAAGUAGAAGUUAAGCAAAGUAGAAGAAAGAAAAAGAUGGAAAUGAUAUGAGAACAUCAACAUGGAGAAGACUUGCCUUCUUAGAAGAGGAUUAAGAUUACAUACAUGCACAACACAUACCAUAGUGUAAUCUGAUAUUUUUUCCCUUCCUGUCUUCAUUCUCAAAACCUCAUGU